UACGUAGGGGGCAAGCGUUGUCCGGAUUCAUUGGGCGUAAAGCGAGUGUAGGCGGUCUGCUAAGUCGGGUGUGAAAGCCCUGGGCUCAACCGAGGAAGUGCACUCGAAACUGGCGGGCUAGAGUAUCGGAGAGGUUGGUGGAAUUCUCGGUGUAGAGGUGAAAUUCGUAGAUAUCGAGAGGAACACCGGUGGCGAAGGCGGCCAACUGGACGAAUACUGACGCUGAGACUCGAAAGCGUGGGGAGCAAACAGG
rnacentral:rRNA from 1 species